rnacentral:rRNA from 1 species
UACGGGGGGAGCAAGCGUUUGUUCGGAUUUACUGGGCGUAAAGGGCGCGUAGGCGGUCGUGACAAGUCACUUGUGAAAUCUCCGGGCUUAACUCGGAACGGUCAAGUGAUACUGUCGGACUAGAGUACAGAAGGGCAACUGGAAUUCUCGGUGUAGCGGUGAAAUGCGUAGAUAUCGAGAGGAACACCUGCGGCGAAGGCGGGUUGCUGGGCUGAUACUGACGCUGAGGCGCGAAAGCCAGGGGAGCGAACGGGG